AUUUUUGCUCAUUUGUAAAAGCACUAACAAGUAUUGUGUGCAAAUAAAAUCCUUCGCACAGCAUCCAAGAAUAAUUUGAGACUAAAAAAUAAUGGAGAAUUAUAUGAAGAAGUCGACAAAUCAUCUGUAAAAGAAAAUAAAUAAUUAAGAAAAUAAUUGAGGUGAAUUUUAUAAUUAUACACUUACUCCAUUAUUUAAAAGAACAUCGGGAUUUGCAACAACGAAUCCGUACCAGAUUAACCACAAGGCAUUAUUGACGGCAAAAGAUGCAAAUAGAUUCAUGUGAAGGAUUAUUCUGGUACAUCUUAGAGAUCUGAAAUCGCAACUUACCGAAAAUAUAUCAAGAUACCAAGAGACACUAAUAAAGCGAUCAAUGAUAUUGAAUAUCCGACUUCGUAGACAAUAUUUAGAUCUUGUUGCCACUGUAAUUAAAAUUAAAAUUUAAAAAUAAUAA